AUGCACGCUGGCGGCGUGCCUAAUCCAUGCACGUCGAGCGAACAGACGAGGAGCUUGCUCCUCUGACGUUAGCGGCGGACGGGUGAGUAACACGUGGAUAACCUACCUAUAAGACUGGGAUAACUUCGGGAAACCGGAGCUAAUACCGGAUAAUAUAUUGAACCGCAUGGUUCAAUAGUGAAAGACGGUUUUGCUGUCACUUAUAGAUGGAUCCGCGCCGCAUUAGCUAGUUGGUAAGGUAACGGCUUACCAAGGCAACGAUGCGUAGCCGACCUGAGAGGGUGAUCGGCCACACUGGAACUGAGACACGGUCCAGACUCCUACGGGAGGCAGCAGUAGGGAAUCUUCCGCAAUGGGCGAAAGCCUGACGGAGCAACGCCGCGUGAGUGAUGAAGGUCUUCGGAUCGUAAAACUCUGUUAUUAGGGAAGAACAAAUGUGUAAGUAACUAUGCACGUCUUGACGGUACCUAAUCAGAAAGCCACGGCUAACUACGUG
rnacentral:rRNA from 1 species